CCCCCACUUUUCACUGAGGUAACUCUUGCCGGACUAGGGGUAGGCUGCAUAUGAGGUACUGGGCAAUUAUCAAACGUGUGCAGGAGCAAUAUAAUGUUCAAUCACUCAAUUGAGCUCAGUUGCUUGAAAAAUUCCCUCAUUUUUCUGUCAGCUCUCAUUAUGAAGACCUCCAUGACUGCUUCAGAAAUCCGCCAGAAGUUUAUAGACUUCUUCAAAGAUAAUGGGCUUAUGUCCAUUCUUCUGCCACAGUCCCCUUGGAUUGACCCAACUCUGCUCUUUGCCAAUGCUGGAAUGAACCAGAACUAGUAUCCAAGCAAGAUGCGGUCACCAAAUGUUAAAGCUCACCUUCUCCUUGUCAACACGCAGGAAGGUCUUCACGGGUGCGUAUGUACUGAAAGAAGAAAGCAAAAACACUGGAUUGUUUUAAGCCAUAAGCAAUUGUCAACAAAAGUCCCUGUUGAAAUAACCUUUUUUCUUUUUUUUAAAAAAAAAAUAGUUAGGCCUUCAAUUCUCCUAACACACGUUGCUUGUAUGAGGUUAUGCAAACACCUUGUUUUACACUGUGGUACUUACAAACGGAUUUGUCCAGUAGACAGAGCACUUGUGAUCCAUAGCAAAUCUAGUGAUUUAAAGGGUACAAGCACAAAGCUGACAUUGGCUGGCAGGUUUUUGGCACUUUCAGGGUACAUGAAGUGAUGAGUAGUUCGGGAUCCCACAUCCAUCUCAAACCCCACUGUGGGGGCCUGGUUUAUCCUUCGUAAAGACACAAAUUACAAACAUUAACCUGGUAGAACUUGUAUAAUGGCAGUUAGCAUGACGGAGCAUGACAAUAGAGUAGCUAAGAUCUAAGUCAGGGUUGCACAAAUCAACAGAAUACAUGACAUAAUAAAUCAAAUGUUAAGUUUAACUGUAUUUAAAGGGAUAUAGUCAAGAGAAUACAUUUUUCCCCCAAAACGCAGCACAGUUAAUAGUGCUGCUCUAGCAAAGUUCUGCACUGAAAAACAUUUUUUAAAAGAGCAAACACAGCUAAUGAAGUGAACCUGCCACAAAUAGUUCACCAUAAGUAAAUUAUUUCUAAGGUUAGAGUGAGUGAGGAUGCAAAUAUUCCUUCUGAAGAAGUGUGGCUGUCCACAUGAAAUGCGUCAAGGAUUAGGAGCAGUAGCAGUUGACCCGUUUUAAUUGUUAUUUUGUGAGUAUACCCAGUUGUUAGGGGACAUUAAUUUUAAAUAAAUAUGUCUGCACUAUUAUAUAUUU